rnacentral:rRNA from 1 species
GGGCCCGCACAAGCGGUGGAGUAUGUGGUUUAAUUCGAUGCAACGCGAAGAACCUUACCAGGGUUUGACAUCCUGCGAAUCUCUUGGAAACGAGAGAGUGCCUUCGGGAACGCAGUGACAGGUGGUGCAUGGCUGUCGUCAGCUCGUGUCGUGAGAUGUUGGGUUAAGUCCCGCAACGAGCGCAACCCACGUCGUUAGUUGCCAGCAUGUAAUGAUGGGAACUCUAACGGGACUGCCGGUGCAAACCGCGAGGAAGGUGGGGAUGACGUCAAAUCAUCACGGCCCUUACGUCCUGGCUACACACGUGCUACAAUGGCCGGUACAGAGGGCAGCCACACCGCAAGGUGGAGCG